rnacentral:snoRNA from 1 species
ACGACCUUACUUGAACAGGAUCUGUUCUAUAGGCUGGUACCUCUGUAUCCUUGAGUUUUAAGGAGACAGGAAUCAAAGUCUGGUGGAUGAAUUCGGACCGUGUGAUCAGAGCGUGAUUAAUAGCUGGGAACCAAGAUUUGGGUCUCCAUAGCGUUAGAGGAUUGUUCUCAGUCAUCUCGUUGGCUGUGAUGGUCGCUCGAUUUUCUGACAGACU